rnacentral:lncRNA from 1 species
CCAUAUCCUAAGAGGAGCUAAUGGCUCAAGUGCCACUCUUACUUGCACAUAUUUGCGACUAAAUAACAACUAUAGCAAGCAGUGCACCUCAUUCUGAAAUAUCGCUAUACUGUUGAUACCAGGAGUUGUUUUUUGCUUGCUUUGAAAUGAUGCCUCAGUAUUUUUGAGAAGGAAAUACAGUGGAAGAUACACAAAAUUACAAUUUGGUGGAACGAAACUUAAUGAUUUUUUGAAGACCACGUAGCUCUCAGUUUGCUUUCCUAUUCACUUUGAGGUAGGGCAGUGCACCCGUAACAUUGUCGUAGUCACUCUUGUUGACUUGCACCUGAAAAAAAUAUAUAGCAGUGUGAUUUAAGAAGAAAAGAAAACGUCAAGUUCAGACUGCAAAUGGAAUUGCCACGGUUUCAAGGAUACAUUGAAAAUGGCCCGCAACUUUAUGGACAGAGGUUAAUAAUUUUUCUGUCACAAAAAAAUAGAAAUUUUGCUUCACCCCAUGCCCAUGGGAUGCCAACAUCAACUGCUAGGUGUGUGUGUGUGAAGCAGUACAUCAGACUACUACGAUGAAUGCGUGAAGGAUGGUAAAGACUGGACUUAAUGUCUUAAUCUGAAAAAACUACACCUCUCUAAUAUAGCCCGGUUCACAAAAGAAAGCAGCUAAGCACACACUAACUGAAGUGCAGAUUAGUGGGAAAUCAGGAUUCAUAAGAAUGACAUAACCAAAUUCUACAGCAUUCAUCGUGAAGGAUGCGUGAAGGAUGGGAAAGACUGGACUUAAUCAGAAAAAAACUAAAGUGCAGAUUAGUGGGAAAUCAGGAUUCCUAGUGCUGGUUUGGUGGACAGGUAAAUGGAGGGGAUCCAUCGAGGAGAAAUAUCCUCGCUAUUCAAUUAUCACCAAAUUCUACAGUAGAACAAGUUCUAACUUCUAAGACCCUUACAUUCUUGAUGAAUCUGAAAGUUAUUAUCACAACACAAAAAUGGAAGAACAGGAUGUCUAAUUCAUGGGCAGCACUCCCCCAAUACAUUAGCUGACUAACAAUAGUGGAGUAAAACUAGAAAUGUUCAUAGGUCAGUACGUUUUACACCCACACCCACUUCUUUCUGAAAAUUGUAAUGCCUAUUUCCAGAGGUAAUUUUAUGUGUACAAGUAAAACAGUUCAUUUUCAGAAACAAACGUUAUAUAAGGACCAUGAUAAUAAUCUGUGAACUUCGACAAGUUCAAUUGUAGCCAAAAGCUUUUUCAUGCCAUCUAUUGGCCCUCACACACAUUUGAUGAUCGAGGAACAGACUGUGCAUCCUAAUGAGUAGGAGACAACGAGAUGCCAAGAAAGUAACAAAGGUAGCACCCCAGAGCACAUCAGCAAAACAAACCCCAGUCCGGACGUCCCUCCAUUUCGCCUUUCCAGUUUCCAGCAACGUUAUCACAAUAAACCUAUCGAGCAAUUAAAAUACGAGAGCGCAAUGUGCUAUUGACAUAAAAAAAUCGACAUUAGCAUCUAAUUUACGGAGACGCACCGGACUUGUUUUCUAUGUACAGCUAUUAAAACAGGCAAUAACUAAUAUGCAAGCCGUCAUUAGCUGCGACAUAAGAAGCAGCUGAACAAAAUUUGAGCGGCACUAGAGUGGGAGUGGAGGGAGGAAAGAAGAAUACCAUCUUCGAGAGCCUCUUCUUGCGCUUGGUGUUCUUCUUGGCGAGCAAGUGCUGCUUCCCGGCGCACCGCCGCACGAUCUUGCCCCUCCCCGUCACCCGGAACCGCUUCG